rnacentral:misc_RNA from 1 species
CCUAGAGUUGUAGGCUUUGCCUGCUAUCUCUUACCCAUGUCUUUUGAGUACCUUCGUUUCCUCGGCGGGUCCGCCCGCCGAUUGGACAAUUUAAACCAUUUGCAGCUGCAAUCAGCGUCUGAAAAAAACUUAAUAGUUA